rnacentral:rRNA from 1 species
UACGGAGGGGGUUAGCGUUGUUCGGAAUUACUGGGCGUAAAGCGUACGUAGGCGGAUUAGCAAGUAUGGGGUGAAAUCCCGGGGCUCAACCCCGGAACUGCCUCAUAAACUGCUAGUCUAGAGUUCGAGAGAGGUGAGUGGAAUUCCGAGUGUAGAGGUGAAAUUCGUAGAUAUUCGGAGGAACACCAGUGGCGAAGGCGGCUCACUGGCUCGAUACUGACGCUGAGGUACGAAAGUGUGGGGAGCAAACAGG